UUGAAAAUAGCUUUAAAUGCUUCUCCAUCCAGUUCUUCAGAGAGCUACUAUCAACAGAUUGAGUUGACAGGAAAAAGUCAUAAUCCAGGCCAAAGUGAGCAAACUCCCAAGAGCAUUCCUGGUCAGCACCGCAGCAAAUCCGUGGCAAGUGCAGGUAAUUCAUUCUCAUGACAGUGUCCAGAGAGUAGGGCUAAAAUGAAAACAGCGGUGAGUGAUGUGGUGCUGCUUCACCUUUUUCACUGGGGAAAUAUGAAUAUAAGAGAAAGUAAUUUGUGCAGAAGUAAAAUGGAGGUGUCUUUAGUUUGUGAAAAUCCCUGGUGCCCCUAGUCAUUCCUCUAUACCAUGAAACUCCCACAGUUACUAUGCCCUAAAGAAACAUUAUUUGGACUGGCUAAACAUAGGACUGAAAAAGAAAAAGAAAAAAAAGGCAAACAGUGAAGGGUGAAGGAACCAUAGCCUCAAGAUUGC
ensembl:lncRNA LINC02994 long intergenic non-protein coding RNA 2994